GUCUAUGGCCAUAGCACCCUGAACGCACCCGAUCUCGUCUGAUCUCAGAAGCUAAGCAGAGUCGGGCCUGGUUAGUACUUGGAUGGGAGACAGUAGGUUUAUGGCUCACUCCUGCCUAGGAGGAGGCCACCUUUGUUU
ensembl:rRNA 5S_rRNA 5S ribosomal RNA